UGCUGGAAUAAAUUGACUAUCUGAUUUGUUCCGGAACGAUGUAACUAGUUGUUUUGUUCCGGCCAGAAUUUUUCAACUAGCUACAUUGUUCCGGGAAUUUUCAACUAGCUACUUUUUCCGGAACUUUUCAACUGCACUCGGAAUAAAACAACUAGUUGGAAAGUUCCAUCGGAACGAAAUAACUAGUUGAAAAGUUCCGCCGGAACAAAGUAACUGGCGGAACA
rnacentral:lncRNA from 1 species